AAACUGGGUGUUUCAUCUGGGACUUUCACAUCGACACUGGCUCUUCUUCGUGACCUUCAGCACAGAAAAAGAAAAGCUAUAGCUGUUACUCGUGCAGCAAAACAGCGACGCAUAAGACUCAAACUGAAACGGCAUUCAAGGGACAUAGUGCAAGAAGAACGAGAGGGACCAACGUGCAGCUCAAACAUAAAGGACCAAGAUGUUGAAGUAACAACUAUAUCUCCACCUGUACCAAGCCUGGUCCAGCAGGACUAGACACUUCUGGGAAGGAAUUUGUUUUCUUUGAUUUGGAAACAACAGGGUUAGAUAGCUGCAGAACAUACAACUGGUCAGUUUUCGACAUAUGUGAUGCCAGAGAAGAUGUCCUUAAAAGCGUCAGAAAUAACUGGAGUGACAGUUGUUGGCGAGUCUAUGCUUAUCAAAGGACAACAGUAACAACUGUCCCAAUCAAAUCUGCAUUAAAAAGUUUUAUAACAUUCUUACAGAAAUGUUCGCCAGUUAUUUUAGUAGGGCAUAAUAUAGAGUAUUUUGAUUGUAAAGUAUUGCUCCAUGCUAUCCAUAAUUGUGGAAAAAGGUUUGAUUUUCAGCAAAAGAUUUAUAUUUUCAGCCUUCAGAGGCUGGUAGCGGUAUUGUGUUUUUAUUAUUUUUUAAGAAACCUUGUGUGUUUAUGUUGGUUUGUAGUGUGCUGUAUUGUGCUGUUUUGUACUGUUUGGGCAAUCGGUCACUUGCCUUAAAUAAAGGACCAACUAAUUGUUUUUAAUGAAAAUUCAAUACUGCUCCAGCAGCUGGAGUUUCACUUCUUUAUAUUUUUAGAUACUUAUACAAUGUUAAAUAACGUAUUACCAAAUAUGAAAUCAUAAAAGCAGGAACAUUUAGUUAAAGAUGUCAUUGGUAAAUCAUACAUCGCAUAUGGCGCUCUACAUGAUGUUUUAGCUUUACAAAAGUUAGUGAACUAUGUUGCUCUUGACCAGAAUAUUGUAAACAAAUAUUCAUUCAGCUAUGACCGAGCAGUAUUAGCAUAUAAUGUGUCACGAAAUGUUGCUUUCAACAUAAAAUAUUUGCAAACAAUCAUUGAUAAAAAAGUUAUAAGUCAAGGUGUUGCAAGGAAAGUUGCAGGAAGUGGAUUGCAACUUACAAAUUUGAGUACUGUGUCAAUAACAAAUGGACUGAGUGGUUUAAGGAGCCUCCUGUCAGAGGUUACAAACGGACAAAUAAGAGUCACACAAUCAGAAAAAAAUAAUAUGUGUAACAGCGAGUUAUUUGUUGUCUGACAUCUAACCAAUUGAAAUUGUUAUCUUGUACAUAGAUUAGCUAUGAAAUCUAAUAGCUGUUCUAUAAAUUGUUUUGCUUCUCAAUGACAAACAAAGUUGUGAUUCUUAUGUCAGUUGUAUUUUCAUGUUUCACCUAAGUUGUAAGAUAUUUUUGACAAUGCAUUAAACCACAGAUGGUUAAACAGUAUGAAACAUAAUAGUGCCACUAAUUGUAAUCUAUGUUGCUUUUUUGUAGAUGUACUAAUCUGAUAAAAAGUAUUUGCGAAGUCGGAAUUAUGAUAGUCGUUGCGUACAUUAGUAGUUGUUGUGUACAUGUAUAUCCUAUAUAUGGACAACAACACAUUUUUGUUACUGAAUGGCAAACAUGGCUUUGCUUAAUGUGUGUGAUUUGUUUCACAUAUUUUACAGUAUUCUAUGUCCGAAUAAAAGUGAAAUAAUCAUUAUCUUGAAUUUCAUAAAUUAUAAUUUGGCAAAGCUAUCUGGUUGUUUAAGCAAACACUGAAAAAUUAACUUCAGAUGGCCCCAAAAAAGACAAAUGUAUUUGUCAUGUGUUCAGCUUUUGACAUCCUAAAGGAAGCCUUAUUAUAAAUGUGAACAACAUAAAAUAUGAACAAUACCUUUUUUCAUUGACAUUCUUUUUGCAGUAUCUGUAACAAUGCCGUUCACUAAACAAUAGUGUAUCACAGCACAAAGCAGUACUUUUUGAAAUCUGUAAUAUAUUUAUUGAUGUCUGGUUUUCUUUUAAAACACAUCACAAAGUUCUAAAAUAAUAAAUUUAAAAUUACAUAUGUUAACUUGACAACCCACAACAUGGGUAGCAGUUGGGAGGGGUAAUUAAAGAUGUUUAUCUGAACAUCAACAUUGUUUUUUCAUUUGUUACAUCUAAAAUAUUUUCAUAAGUAUGUAUAUUAUAAAUAUGUCUACGUGUGUCACAUUUCAGUUGAUAAUUUGAUUUGUUAUGGAGCAGUUAUUAUAUUUAUUUGGCUUAAUUACUAUUACAAUGUUAGUUAUCAUAUUUUUGAAAUUAAGUCCAUAUUAAAAUGUCUGUAGCAAAAAAAAAAUCGACGGUGACAUAUCAAUUUCUUUACUUCAUUUUAAUGCUAAGCUAGUUUCAUUUAAU